CCAGAGGAUCGGGCGGCCGCCGCUUUGCAGCAAUGCGAGGGGAGGAAAGUCCGGGCUCCACGGAACGACGGUGGCGGGUAAUGCCCGCCGGGGGUGACCCCAGGGAAAGUGCCACAGAGAGCAGACCGCCCACUGCCCCGGUUCACCGGGGUAAGGGCAAGGGUGAAAGGGUGCGGCAAGAGCGCACCGCGCGACCGGUAACGGAAGCGGCUUGGUAAACCCCACCGGGAGCAAGACCGAAUAGGGACGGCACAUGCGCCUCGUUCCGGCGCGUCGUCCGGGUUGGUUGCUGGAGCGGCGGAGCGAUCCGUCGCCUAGAGGAAUGGUCGCCUAUCCCCUUCGGGGGUGGACAGAACCCGGCUUACAGAUCCUCUGGCGUU
rnacentral:RNase_P_RNA from 1 species